rnacentral:misc_RNA from 1 species
GUUUGAACUACAAUUCUUGUGGAGGAUGUCUGCCAUUGUCUUCAAGUCAAAAUUAAUAAGUAGCUAUAAGUUAACUUGUUGCUACCAUGGUCCUUCUUUUAAUUAGUUUUUUAGUAAAAGAAGAUCCAUUGGCAAUAUCUGCUAAUUCAUAAAACCAAAAUCCAGGUUUCCAUAAUAGCUUCAAUUUGAAUGCAAGCAAAAACUGUCAAUGUUAUGAACAUGGCAAAAUUCUGCUCAACCACAAUCAUUUUAA